GAGAGCCCCCGCCGCCAACCAUCUACGGAGAUCGGGUUCGUCCACACACUCCCACCGCUGCCAUCCCCGCGAACCGGAGAGCGAGGCCGACACCGCCGCCGCGAUGAGGGCCAAGUGGAAGAAGAAGAGGAUGAGGAGGCUCAAGAGGAAGCGCCGAAAGAUGAGGCAGCGAUCCAAGUAGGCGCCUUGGAAGGAGGGGAAGCAUCAUCUUGCAUCCAGGUUGCCAGGCACCGAGGGAUGACGGCAUGGUCUAGUGAUUCCUGGCGUGUUUGCUGCGAUGGCUGUGGAAGCUGUUUAACCUGUGUUCUGUCCAAUUUAGCUGUUUAAUGCCUAGUCUGGUUAUGUUCCAAGACUGAGUUUUAUGUAAUGUGAGGAUUAUAUGUGUUUGUGACUGAAUUUUAUGCAGCUAUUAAUUUUGCAGUACUCUGAAAUAUGUAAUUCUCACCUGCGUCUCAUCUUUUU